rnacentral:tRNA from 1 species
UGCCCUGUAGCUCAGCUGGUAGUAGCAUGCGACUGUUAAUCGCAGGGUCGUGGGUUCGAUCCCCACCGGGGCAGCCA